rnacentral:rRNA from 1 species
AGUCGAACGGAGUCCAUCCGGUGGUAACACCGGUGAAGGAUUAGUGGCGAACGGGUGCGUAACACGUGAGCAACCUGCCCCAAAGGAUGGGAUAACACCGGGAAACCGAUGCUAAUACCGGAUGUCCCCAUUGGAUCGCAUGAUCUGAUGAGGAAAGGAAACCUGCUUUGGGAGGGGCUCGCGGCCUAUCAGCUUGUUGGUGAGGUAACGGCUCACCAAGGCGACGACGGGUAGCUGGUCUGAGAGGACGAUCAGCCACACUGGGGAUGAGACACGGCCCAGGAUCCUACGGGAGGCAGCAGUAGGGAAACCUUGCGCAAUGGGCGAAAGCCUGACGCAGCAACGCCGCGUGGGGGAUGAAUGCCUUCGGGUUGUAAACCCCUUUCAGUGGGAACGAAAUUGACGGUACCCACAGAAGAAGCCCCGGCCAACUACGUGCCAGCAGCCGCGGUGAUACGUAGGGGGCGAGCGUUGUCCGGAUUUAUUGGGCGUAAAGAGCUCGUAGGCGGCUUGGCAAGUCGGCGUGUGAAACCCCCAGGCUUAACCUGGGGACGCCACUCGAAACUGCCAUGGCUAGAGUCCGGCAGGGGAUCACGGAAACUCCUGGUGUAGCGGUGAAAUGCGCAGAUAUCAGGAGGAACACCAGUGGCGAAGGCGGUGAUCUGGGCCGGUACUGACGCUGAGGAGCGAAAGCGUGGGGAGCGAACAGGAUUAGAUACCCUGGUAGUCCACGCCGUA